rnacentral:lncRNA from 1 species
AUAGGUGAUAACUUCAUUUGCGCAACGAUUGAUUGGUGGCCUCCUGAAUUAUGCAACUUCGGCGUUUGUUCUUGGGGACAUUCAUCUAUUGUCAAUUUGGUGUGUAUUUUUAGAUUUUCACCUGUAUAGAAAAUGAAAUCAAUGCUUUUAAAAUUUUAUGUUUCCUUGGAAAGCAAGCUAACCUGUUUUAAUCAUUGUUCAGGACUUAUCUCAUCCUCUCCUUGCCAAAGCAAUCCAAGGUUUGUAUGUCUAAAUUACUUAAAUGUAUAUGAUUUAGAUAAUUUGUUAGUAUUAUGAUCGAUGUUUUUAAAAAUCGGAUAACAUUGUUGAUGACGUUAUUAUUGUUGAUGGCAUUAUUAAUGUGGCUGCAUGAAGUUUAAAUGUAUUAAGCAUAAUGUUAUUCUUUUCAUAUCAUUUUCGGAUAGCCCUCAAACCUUUGAGGAUAAGACUUGGAGGUUCUCUGCAAGACCAGGUGGUGUAUAACGUAGGAAACUUGAAGUCUCCUGGUCAUCCAUUUCAAAAGGUGAAAGGUGGAUUUUUAGGAUUUUCAGAGGGAUCUUUACACAUGCAAAGGUGGGAUGAGCUGAAUCAUUUUUUCAACAAGACAGGGUGAGAAUCUAUACAUUAUAUUUGUUAUUAUCGUCACCGCCACCUUCACUUUCUCUUCUUUUAAACCAAAUAAAAAGGAUAGUUUCAAUUUAGUGCUUUCUUCCUUAUAAUUGAAGACUUUAGGUGAUUUAUUUAUUUUGUUAUUUGGAGCGAUUCAAUAUAUUGUCUUCUAUCCUGUACUAUUGCAACAGUUUUUGUUAGCUUACAAAGAGUGUCUGAGAUAUCAGGAUGUGAUCGACCCCAUUUUGUGUAAAUAUGUACCAAAACAAAGAACUUGGAUAUAUGUGUCUGGUAGAAUUAUGAUUACGUCUGGUAGAAUUGUAACUUAAUUGAAGUUUGACACAUGCAGGGCCAUUGUGAUGUUUGGGUUGAAUGCGCUCAGUGGGAGGCACAAGAUUAGUAACACUAGUAAUGUUUGGGAAGGAGCCUGGGACCCUACAAAUGCUUAUGAUUUUAUAAAGUACACUGUUUCAAAGGGAUACAAGAUUGAUGCAUGGGAAUUUGGUACGACAAUAGACAAAGUAGUUUGUUAUUUUUGUUAACGCAUUAGUUUGUUUUAGCAUAUGCCCAAUUGGCGGAGUGUUAAUGGACUGAUCUAUAGUUGUCAAAGCCUAAGGGUUCGUGGUCCAAAAGGUCUAAACAAGUGUUGUCAAUCGUGGAUCAUAGAAAAUAGUGAUUAUUUAAAUUCUACGCAACAAUGUUGAAGUCCCGCUGUAACUGUUAUUGACAACAUUUUGUUAGCGUAUGGCGGAGCAACACUGGUCUAAGCCAUUUGAUCUUCAUCCCACUUUAGUCUUCUUUGUUGUUAUCAGAUGUGGACUUAUUGCAUAUGCUUAUGUAGGUAAUGAGUUGAGUGGUACAGGCGUUGGUGCAUCAGUUGUCGUUGCACAGUAUGGGAAAGACGUGAUAAACCUUAAACGAAUUCUAGAUGAGUUAUACAAGAACUCGAGGUUCAAACCCUUACUUGUAGCACCUGAUGGAAGUUAUGAUAAGGAAUGGUACAAUAAGCUUCUUCAGCUUUCUGGUCCAGGCGUAAUCAAUGUUCUGACUCAUCAUUUAUAUAACAUAGGCCGAGGUUUGCUUAUCACUCACAUAAUUCUUUCUAGUAUUGUCUACCAUUCAUAACCUAUUUCUAAGUUAAUUUCUCGUUUUCAGCUAAUGACACGCAUCUUAUAGAGAGAAUUUUAGAUCCUGAUCACUUGAGCGAAGUGGAAACAACCUUCAGAAAUCUUUCAGAAACCAUUCAAAAACAUGGUCCUUGGGCUUCUGCAUGGGUAGGAGAAUCUGGCGGGAUAUCUAGGAGUGGCAGUCGUGAUGUAUCUAACACAUUUGUGAAUAGCUUUUGGUAAUAUUGAUUCCGUCAUUUUUUUCCCUCUUUCUAAGUUUUAGGUGCCAGAAGAAGAAUUCUGAUUUUUUAUUUAGAAUGUGUUGAACCGAAUAUUUGAAUGACUCGUCGUAGGUACUUAGAUCAACUUGGAAUGGCAUCCACCUACAAUACUAAAGUUUAUUGUAGGCAGUCAUUAAUUGGAGGGAACUAUGGUCUUCUCAAUACCUCCACUCUCGCUCCUAAUCCUGACUACUACAGGCAAGUAUAAAUUAAAUAUUACAGAAAAAUAAAAAUCAGAGAUUAAUAGAUAAUUUGAUAUACUUAUAUUCCCUGGAAUGUUACUUAAGGAUUUAUAGUAGUAAUGUAUGUCAUUGUUAAACAUAUCUAAUCCUAGAUUCUGGUUCUGCAAACAGUGCGCUGUUGUGGUAUCGGCUAAUGGGAAAGAAGGUUCUUGGUGUUAGGAGUAAUAUUUCUUCGCCAUUUUUACGCACUUACUCCCAUUGUUCAAAAGACAGUGUAAGUAUGCUAAUUUAUUACAACUUCUUAGGAAGGAUAUUAUAUUAUAGAGAGAUGUGAUGAGUUUAGUUUUUAUAUUUGAUUAAUAUCCCACGAAAAAUUAAAGUUGAUAUGACAUCAUACGAAAAACUUAACACGCGUGUGUAACUGUGGAUUGAUUCUUUGGCGAUUAUUAUAGUUUGAGUACCUUAAUUUGUGUAACUAUCUACGGGCUACUGAUUCUUAAUAGUUUCAUAGUUGAGACACAUAGGUUCUGUCAAAUGUCUCGUUUCCGAGAGACAACAAUAGUCCAUGAAUAACUAGUGGAUCCAUUAUUCAUUGCUGUAUUUUUCCCUAAAACCAUGCUUCAUGCUUCUAUAAAUAGCUACUGGUCGCAACUAUAUAUAGAAGUCGACCGACGAAGAUAAUAGCAACUGUUCAGCUAGUUCUGUGUACUAUAGAGAUUAGAUACAGUUACAGUAAACUUAUAAACCCGAGUAAGUAUACUCUAAUACUCUCCUACAAGCUCAAGGUGGGUCGGAGCCAUGAAAAGAUGAUAGAUCAUACACACUGAGCUUUGAUCUCAGAGCUUCAAAUCUAGUUUGCGCUAUUAACGCGGCUUUCAGCUUUUUAACAUAUUUUAAUUGCUAAACUGAAUAAUGUCAUCUCCAUUCCCAUUAAAUACAUAAAUAUUUCCACACUACCUUCUGAUCGAAUAAAGAUCUUUGCUUUCUAGAUCUUUUAUGUUUUUUGAAACUACAUGCAAUUUCAGUUUAUAAUGAAUGUAUGAUAGUAUUGAAUCCAGGUUGAUUCAGUGUCAUGCUUAAUUUCAUAGUAAUUCUUUUUUACUGCAGAGUAAUUUCCAUCAUCUGUUGGCUAAUUUGCUAUUAAUUUAAGCAAUCCUCAAAUUCUUACCAAUUUGAUUUUACAGGCUGGUGUAACAUUACUGUUGAUCAACUUAAGCAAUCAAACUGAGUUCAUACUCAAUGUGAAAAACCAUGUAACUGUUAAAGCAAAUGAAGUGGCCAAAUUCAGGGAAGAGUAUCACUUAACUCCAAAAGAUAAUAAUCUCAGAAGCCAAACCAUGGUGCUGAAUGGCAUUCCACUUAAGUUAACAAAUAAAGGGGAUAUUCCAGCAAUGGAUCCAGUGCAAAAUAAUGUGAAAUCUCCAAUAUACAUAGAUCCUUUGUCCAUUGCAUUUAUUGUGUACCCAAACUUUGAUGCUCCAGCUUGUGCCAGGCACUCAAAACUAUAAAGCUUGUAAACUAGGCCUUAAAA